GCAAGGAACGACAACUCUGGGUAGAGAUUGUAUUUUUUAAAAAUAGCAUCAAACGAAUACAUUUCGUUUUAUGCUUGUGUGGAAAUUCCCGUUCUAUAAAUAGCGCUAUUCCUGAGCAAUCCACUCGGAACAUGAGGUGGAGAUCUAUCUCCCCUAAAAUCCACCACUGAUAUAAAGGGCAAACAACACAGCUGGAUAAAGCAUCCCAAGUCUGCACCUUGUAAAGCUAUGACAAUGAGAGAAAUGUGUAACAGGAAAGGGAGAAAAUGCAACGGACCAGACCGGGAUUCGAACCCGGGCCCCCUGAAUAUCUAGUCAGGUGCUCUACCAACUGAGCUAACUGGCCACCUGUGAUCGAACCCGGCCGACCGCUACAUUCCUCCCUCCUUAAAUGUCUUCACACCCUGAAGACAUCAACCCAGGAUCUUUAUCCCCUGGCAGGCAUUUUCACCUGUCAGUUCCAGGGGCUGGUCACGGUUAACCAAAUGUAACAGGAAAGGGAGAAAAUGCAAUGGACCAGACCGGGAUUCGAACCCGGGACCCCUGAAUCUCUAGUCAGGUGCUCUACCAACUGAGCUAACUGGCCACCUGUGAUCGAACCCGGCCGACCGCUACAAAUGUAUCCACCCAGGCAAUCAGAAUAUAGAGUGCAACCCGGAAGGUGCGCUGCAGCUCAAAGAGAGCCAUGGUUAUUGGCAUCAAGUUCUCCAUCAGCUUUACCUCACAGGCACCACUUGUGAUUUCUUAGUUUGAACACCAAUGAACAUGGAAGUGAUUCUCAUCCUUCGAGAUGAAUUAUGGGAAUUUCAAUUAUACUUGGCAUACACGAUUGAGCCUUUGUGCCCUCUCUGCAAUAACCAACUAGACAGACUUGUGAAAAUUCAAAUGUCUUCCAUUAGUUUUAUUUUGUUUUUGCUACAAAUGACCAGUGUAAAGAUGUGCAUGAAUCACCAUUGUAACAAUUUCUUUGACUUAAGUAGCAAAUUGUUCACUUUGUCAUUUACUUGAAUGCAUUUAAUACAACUUGACAAUGCAGAAUAAUAUGAGUAAGAAGUUGUACAUUUAUAGUAUCUAAGUCCAAAGGUAAGAUUUAAUAAAUUGUGGAAUUCAUAUCAGCUAUUUCCUUCAGUAGAGGAUUUGCAAAUGUACAAGAGUCACACAGAGUUGAAAAUCUUAGUGGACAGAUAUAUAUGUCUGUAUUGUGAAGGUAUAUGAUUUAGAAUAUGGAUGUUUUUAAUUAUUCAAUUGCACACUCCACAUGAAUUUGACUCUUCCUUGUCUUGUAACAGCUGUGCUUCAUCCUUUCUGAAAUGAGAUUUUGAUGAAAGAAAAGGUGAUAUGUUCAAUGUCACUCCUGAUUAAAGUUUAUCAAAUAUAUCAAAUCCUUUAUUGGCAAGAAUCAUAUAUCAUCUG